rnacentral:tRNA from 1 species
CGUCCAGUAGCUCAGAUGGUAGAGCAGCUCCCUGUUAAGGAGACGCGCGCGGGUUCGAGGCCUGCCUGGGCAGCCA